rnacentral:rRNA from 1 species
AGGACGAACGCUGGCGGCGUGCUUAACACAUGCAAGUCGAGCGGAAAGGCCCUUCGGGGUACUCGAGCGGCGAACGGGUGAGUAACACGUGAGCAACCUGCCCUUAGCUCUGGGAUAGCUCCGGGAAACCGGAAUUAAUACCGGAUACGACCUAGGCCGACAUCGGCCAUGGUGGAAAGUUUUUCGGCUAGGGAUGGACUCGCGGCCUAUCAGCUAGUUGGUGGGUAAAGCCUACCAAGGCGACGACGGGUAG